rnacentral:rRNA from 1 species
UACGUAGGGUGCGAGCGUUAAUCGGAUUUACUGGGCGCAAAGCGUGCGCAGGCGGCCCGUUAAGACAGGUGUGAAAUCCCUGGGCUCAACCUAGGAAUUGCGCUUGUGACUGGCGGGCUCGAGUACGGUAGAGGGGGGUGGAAUUCCUGGUGUAGCAGUGAAAUGCGUAGAGAUCAGGAGGAACACCGAUGGCGAAGGCAGCCCCCUGGGCCUGUACUGACGCUCAUGCACGAAAGCGUGGGGAGCAAACAGG